ACAAUGUAAACGAUUGAACCAUCUAAAUUAAAGAAUGAAAUUUAAUAAAUGUCAAGCACACACAUUUACUCGCAACAAAAGGAGUGCCAAAAUUGAACAUUCAAACAAGAAGAACUUAACCAAGCACAUACAUUUACGCACACAAAAACCCAAGACCCCAUUCCAUUGACCAUUGAAUUACCCCACAUACUUCUAAAACCCAAUAAUCAAA
rnacentral:misc_RNA from 1 species